rnacentral:misc_RNA from 1 species
ACAAGUUAAGAUUUUAAUGAAGUGGAUUUUUUGCUGAUAAUACAAGUGAAGCCCUUACUAACGUUGUUAUUACUAUGACAAUAUUUGCAAACUGGACUCGACGAACAAAUGUUUCCAUAUAUUAGGUUACACUUUUCAAGCAUUUUCAGAGUACUGUUGAGGUAAUGAAGCUUCCUAAGAACGUUGUUGCUACGGACUCAAGUAUGAAUAAUACAUACGCACAUUUUUAUAUUAUUUAAAUACACCAGGUUUCAUUCUCGUUAUCAAACGCGAAAAUACCUCACAAAAUCAAUACCAUUGAUUUCUUCUCAAUAGAUAAAAUACGUAAGCAGUCUAUUGGCAUUUAAUGUAGCAUUUAAUUCACAGUAUUGCAACCAGGAAGUAAAUAAGAAAAAAAGAAGGCCACUUGGGAUAUUUAUUGUCGUUCUUCACAAAUCGUCUUUUGCUGGUUUAUUAGAAAGUAAGAAAUGUCUGUCGAAACAUAAAAAUGGGCGGAUGCGUCUCCUCUGUCGGAGAUGAAAAGGCACAAGACGAAAAACAUACAGAUAACAUAGAUGCUAAGGAAGAAGAGAAAGAGGCGGACGUAAUUUCUCCAAGAACGAUAUCCGUACAGCCGAUGGAAUCUAGAGAAGUUACUGCGGCAACUGUAGAUCCAAUGUCCCACGCGAAGACACAAGACGAUGUUAGUGUAGGCCUGGCAAACACCCUUGUUGUAAAACAAGAUGCACGUCCGCAACCUCACACGACCUUGCAUGUUAACCACACCAAUGCUACGGAAGCACACCGUGAUGAACUGCUUACGUCUACAUCUGACAGAUAUGAGAAAGGCACACAGGCAAGACACUCGCAGGGUUACCGCAAGAAAGACGGAGGUGAGGUCAGUUACAGAAAUGAAGACACAGGAACAGUCGACCUUAAGUUACAGAUACAGGAACUGAGGAUCGAGCGCAAUGAGAUGUUUAAGUUAAAUAAUGAAUUCAUGAAGGAAAAAGAACACCUUUGGAAUUCACUGGUACAAAAGGAGAAAGAAGUCGACGAACUUCGAACAAGAUUGAGUCGAGUUGCCUCUGAACGUCUCACAGAUAAUAACCCGAACGUAGCGGAUCUUAGCGAUCCAAAUCGUCCGGUGAAAAUAGCAGACAGAUAUAUCGAGCUUUACAGUAAUGAAUGGAGUGAUGCUUUUGAAGAUCUAGUGGCAACUGGGGAUAGAACUGAUCAAGAAGCAAUACAAAUUCUGCUGGAGUUUAUCGAGAAUAUCUACAAAAUGUGUCUUGGUGUUUCUACAAAUCAUGCAAAGGACUUGAACACAAAUAUUCUAUUGUUCACUGGUCAUAUCUUUAGAGGAGCUGAUAUGAAGAUAUCUACCAACCUUUCAAGCGCUAUGAAGCCAUUUAAAGAUGAAAGAAAACUAAUGUAUAAAGAAUUCCUGCCAACAUUAUGCACGGAAACGAACAAACUUAGAGAUAUAAAACUGGUGAAGAAGAAGGACAGAACAAAAAAGCUUCAGAAAUACCUUGAUACUGCUACAGAACUUUGUUGGCUUAUGUGUAUUCAAGACCCACCAGUGCAUCUAUACAUAGAUUGUAAACAGGGACAUAAAUUUGAUGAAAAUAACUUCAGUGCGUUUACAGUGCGAGGUACAACGGUCGAUUAUUUAGUUUGGCCAGCUCUACAUUUGUGCCAAAAUGGACCAAUUUUGAAGAAAGGAGUAGCACAAGCUAAGGCAACAAACAAAGAAAACCGUACAGAAAAUAAACCAAAAUCUAACGUUUUACAUAAUUCUAGCAGGAACUCUGAAAGUCAGUGCCAUGACCAAAAUGCACAGUCACUCUCAUUUUAAAUUACUAUAAAUUCUAGAUUUACCUCAUAAUGUUAUUUGAAAGAAAUAGUGAUAUAUCGUUUUGAUCUUUAGGUGAACUUUGUUCCUGCCAGUAUAUAAACAGAACGCCGCUUUUACAUUUUUACAUUGACAUCAGCUCUAUUAACUUGAAAAAAUCCUAACAAACAAAUAGCCAUUACAAAGAAAUUGUUCACAUACUGCAUAAUAUGAUUAUCUAGCGUGCCGUUUACGUUCAAAUGAGCGGACAAAACAUUUAAAUAUUUAUUUUUUUAUAUGCAAAUCUGUUGUGUAAAGUUGGUUGUUUCUAUACAGAAUAGAACCAAUAAAACAUUUUAAAAAUGUUCUCCCGUCUGUUUUGUGAACCAGCUAUGUCGUCUAAACAUUGAUAGAGAGGCAUCUUGUUAGUACUGAUAACUGUGCUAACAAUGUUUUA